rnacentral:rRNA from 1 species
AUGGCAGCACCCAGCGCAACGCCAAAUAUACGGUGUGAGAUGGAGAACGUGGCGCUCAGCUGUGGUUUCUUCAGAGGAAGAUGGGGAGACAGUGGGCGGUUCGCAACAGGAGCAGACAGGGGACGACUUGUAUGUAGGGAUCGGUUUCCAGAUGGAGGCAUCUUCUGUCGCAGAGCUCCUAAGGGAGAAGAUGUGUAG